rnacentral:rRNA from 1 species
GACAGAGGUGCCAAGCGUUGUCCGGAAUCAUUGGGCGUAAAGCGCGUGUAGGCGGCUCGGUAAGUCUGCUGUGAAAGUCCAGGGCUCAACCCUGGGAUGCCGGUGGAUACUGUCGAGCUCGAGUCCGGAAGAGGCGAGUGGAAUUCCUGGUGUAGCGGUGAAAUGCGCAGAUAUCAGGAGGAACACCGAUGGCGAAGGCAGCUCGCUGGGACGUGACUGACGCUGAGACGCGAAAGCGUGGGGAGCAAACAGG